CUGUUGGGAAACCGGAUGAGGAGAAUAUCCAGCUAAUUCAUGUUUUACCUGUAACUUCUACCUGACUAUGUCAUGGACAUCUUUGUUUUCACUUUGCUUUAACCAUAUCGCGCGUGUGAUUGAGAAAAAGGUGAUUUAAAAAUGUGUUCCGUGGCUCUGCUGGUUGUUGCAUUAGCUAUUGUGUUCUUCCUGCUGUUAGCGAUGGGUUGCCCUGUUAUCCGAGGUGAAGGUCGAUGUCCGAAGCCCGAAUUUUAUUAUACAGGUGCCGGCAUAAACACGGGCGGACAACUCCCGCAGUGUCCAAUGCCUCAACCAAGACAACCUUCGCCAGUAGACACAAAAAUAGAAAUAAAAGAUCUUUAACCGGGAAGACGCACUGUUACAACUAUAAAGGGAAGCAACUGGGACACGUCUCUUUGCCCGCUGGUUGUUGCUUGGAUACAUCCACUUCUGUUUGUAGCAAAUUACUACUAUAACUCUAGUAGAAUUACAUUUAUAGCCAUUCGCCGCCACAUAUUUUUGUACGAUGCUUAUUUUCAAAUAAAUAAAUAAAUAAAUAAAUCUCACAAUAA